UACGGAGGGGGCUAGCGUUGUUCGGAAUUACUGGGCGUAAAGCGCACGUAGGCGGCUUUGUAAGUUAGAGGUGAAAGCCCAGGGCUUAACCCUGGAAUUGCCUUUAAGACUGCAUCGCUAGAAUCGUGGAGAGGUAAGUGGAAUUCCGAGUGUAGAGGUGAAAUUCGUAGAUAUUCGGAAGAACACCAGUGGCGAAGGCGACACACUGGGCCAUUACUGACGCUGAGGCGCGAAAGCGUGGGGAGCAAACAGG
rnacentral:rRNA from 1 species